rnacentral:rRNA from 1 species
AGAGUUGAUCAUGGCUCAGAACGUACGCUGGCGGCACGCCUAACACAUGCAAGUCGAACGAAGUAGCAAUACUUAGUGGCAGACGGGUGAGUAACAUGUAGGUAUCUACCCUAUGGCCUGGAAUAACACGAGGAAACUUGUGCUAAUACCGGAUAAGUCUUUACGGAGAAAGCUUUAUGCACCAUUGGAUGAGCCUGCACUUGAUUAGUUUGUUGGUGGGGUAAUGGCCUACCAAGACUGUGAUCAAUAGCUGAUUUGAGAGGAUGAUCAGCCACAUUGGGACUGAGACACGGCCCAAACUCCUACGGGAGGCAGCAGUGGGGAAUCUUGCACAAUGGAGGAAACUCUGAUGCAGCGAUGCCGCGUGAGUGAAGAAGGCCUUUGGGUUGUAAAGCUCUUUCGUCGGGGAAGAAAAUGACUGUACCCGAAUAAGAAGGUCCGGCUAACUUCGUGCCAGCAGCCGCGGUAAUACGAAGGGACCUAGCGUAGUUCGGAAUUACUGGGCUUAAAGAGUUCGUAGGUGGUUGAAAAAGUUGGUGGUGAAAUCCCAGAGCUUAACUCUGGAACUGCCAUCAAAACUUUUCAGCUAGAGUAUGAUAGAGGAAAGCAGAAUUUCUAGUGUAGAGGUGAAAUUCGUAGAUAUUAGAAAGAAUACCAAUUGCGAAGGCAGCUUUCUGGAUCAUUACUGACACUGAGGAACGAAAGCAUGGGUAGCGAAGAGGAUUAGAUACCCUCGUAGUCCAUGCCGUAAACGAUGUGUGUUAGACGUUGGAAAUUUAUUUUCAGUGUCGCAGCGAAAGCGAUAAACACACCGC